rnacentral:rRNA from 1 species
UACGGAGGGUGCGAGCGUUGUCCGGAAUCAUUGGGCGUAAAGGGCGCGUAGGUGGCGGGACAAGCGUGCGGUGAAAGCUCGGGGCUCAACCCCGCGUCGGCCGUGCGAACUGUUUUGCUUGAGCACUGUAGAGGCAGGCGGAAUUCCGGGUGUAGCGGUGGAAUGCGUAGAGAUCCGGAAGAACACCGGUGGCGAAGGCGGCCUGCUGGGGCAGUAGCUGACACUGAGGCGC